GAACGCACCGCAAGGUGAGUGGCAGACGGGUGAGUAACGCGUGGGAACCUUCCCUGUGGUACGGAAUAACUUCGGGAAACCGAAGCUAAUACCGUAUAUCCCCUCCGGGGGAAAGAUUUAUCGCCGAAGGAUCGGCCCGCGCCCGAUUAGCUAGUUGGUGGGGUAAUGGCUCACCAAGGCGACGAUCGGUAGCUGGUCUGAGAGGAUGAUCAGCCUCACUGGGACUGAGACACGGCCCAGACUCCUACGGGAGGCAGCAGUGGGGAAUAUUGGACAAUGGGCGCAAGCCUGAUCCAGCCAUGCCGCGUGGGUGAUGAAGGCCUUAGGGUUGUAAAGCCCUUUCGGCGGGGAAGAUAAUGACGGUACCCGCAGAAGAAGCCCCGGCUAACUUCGUG
rnacentral:rRNA from 1 species